CUCCCGUGGAGAAAUAUCAAAAUGUCUGUGUUUGUAGCCAGCACUUUCAGCCGGAGGAUUUCGAUAUGGACCUGAAGUCUCAGCUGAUGAGGUUGCCGGGAUAUCGAAUGUUUUAAAGUGAUGCUAUUCCAUUGAAUUUCCCCUUCACUUCAAAGAGGAAAGGUACCCGAUCAGCCAACAUCAGCACAGCAGAAAAUAAGUCGAGCUGAGAUAGCGUAGCUAACUAGCCAACUGCGUUUGUUUAUCUAAACCAAAAUCUAAUUAGCUAGCUUUCAUAAUACGCUGGCUAGACCAUCCGAAGUAAUGUAAUUAUCUAACUGCUAUCUGGCAAAGUGAUUUGUAAUUUUGCAAGCUAACAUUAGCUACAUUAUGUUAGCUACUGCCCACCGGAUCGUAGAUAGCUAGCUAACUAAUUGACUAACUAACAGUACCGUAGAGGCUAACGUGACUAUGUGUUCGAUCCCAUCAAUAUCUGCAGCGGCAUCAAGCUCAGCACCAGGAACUAGUGAGACUUGCAGUACAAACACAUCUUCUGUAAGAGGUCGACGCAGUGGGUGAUGAAGAAAGUGUAUGAGCCCAGAACCCACCACUUCAGGGAGAGUCUUGUCCACCUGUCUGUGGAGUGCAAAACAACUUAGAAUGUUGUCUACAAGGAGCCAGAGACACAGCUCCCCAAACCCAACAUCCCUGCCAACAUCGCCACAGCGUCAAAGUCUGCAACACCAGCUUCCAUUACCCAACAAGACGAGGUUCACCAGUUGAAGAACACUCUGGAACCUGCCUGGAGCAUUCAGCCAACACAACAUCCAUAUUCAGUUAGACUGAUGUUGUAGUAUAAUAUAGAAUGCCUAGUAUGCUCAACUGCAUUGUGGUAUAGAUAUUGCUAGCUCUUGUACAUUAACUCAG